rnacentral:rRNA from 1 species
ACGCUCGACACCUACGGGAGGCAGCAGUGGGGAAUAUUGCACAAUGGAGGAAACUCUGAUGCAGCGACGCCGCGUGGAGGAAGAAGGUCUUCGGAUUGUAAACUCCUGUUGUUGAGGACGAUAAUGACGGUACUCAACAAGGAAGUGACGGCUAACUACGUGCCGGCAGCCGCGGUAAUCUGAGCGGCUGGCAAGGC